rnacentral:lncRNA from 1 species
UUAGCUAAAAAAAUUAACUAGCUGACUUAUUAAUUGCCAUGUUGAUUUCUUUUUUUUCUGUUUCUGUAAUUUAAAUUAAAGCCUCUUGAAUCAUUCUAAUAGUUCUGUCGUGUUCUAUAUACCAAAAAUGUGUUCAUGUAGACAUCUUUGUUUUCACUCAUUCAUUAACUUAAUGAUAAUUUUUGAAUGCCUAUCACAAUCCAACCACACUUCUAAGUGCUGGGAUGCAGAGAUAAAACAAAGUCUCUGCUUUCAUGGAGUUACAUUCUAGAGGUAAGAAAUAUAAAAUAAAUCAAUAAAUCUAUAUUACAAGUGGUGAAAUGAUAUGAAAAAUUCUGUGAUCCACAGAGUGAUUGCAGAAGAUCUCUCAGAAGAGGUGAUUUGAACAUAGACAUCACAAACAUGAAGAAGUGAGAACCAUGAAGGUAAUUUAGCAAGGGUACACUGUGCCAAGCUGACAACACUGUUUAUGGCUGUGGGUCACCAGCUCCCUGAGACCUGCUCCUCUGCACCUCCCUAAAGGCUAAGAGACUCAAUAUCUCUCUCACUCGAACCCAUCAGCUCCACAGCAAAGUUCCUGGUAUCUCUUUUGGGAAAUAUCCUGCCAUUGGGAAAGAAAGGAGAACAGGAAUUGAUGAAGAAAAGGGAGAAAAGGGGACAAAAAGAAGACAAAAGAAGAAUAGAAGCAGAAGAGUACGGUAUUCUAAGUGAAGGAAGAACCUUUUUAAAGAGGGAGUGAACCAAAAAGACUUGACAGCUAUUGAGAAUUCCAAUUGUGUGGGAGCUAAGGAGAGGGCACUGGUUAGGGCAAUGUCCUCCCUGGUUUUGCGUUAGAGGCAGUUUGAGUAGUAGAGGGGCAUAGAAGGCAGAUUAGGCAGUGACAGGGAAGUAUGGAAGCGGUGUGUGUGGUUUGCUGCACUUAGACAAACCUUGUGGGGGAAGGUAGAAAAGCAAUGGGCUGGAAUGGGUGGCAAUGACACUUUGGGGAUUUGAAGACCUGCCUGAGUUUGUAUGCAGAUUGAGGGGAAGAUAUAAGAGGAAAGAAUGGAACUGAAAACAUAAAAGACAAAAGGAAAUAAUUGACAAAGCAAAAUUCAGGCAACCAGGAAAGAACGGGAUCAAAUGUAUGUAGACAGAUUAAACUUGGUUAAGAAUAUACUUUUCUUUGAAUAGACAGAAAGGAGGAACAUAUUGAUAAAUGGUAGAGGGAGAUUUUGAAGGGUGCUGAAGACCUGAGAGAGUAUUCUCACUCAAUAGCUUUUGUUUUCUCUGUAAAAUAUGAUGUGAGAAGGAUGGUGAUCAUUCAGCAAUUCCUACUGGGGAAAAGGACAGACAACAACGUGGAGUGAGAGUGGGGUCAGAUGACUGUAUCAAUCAUGUGCUCAACACUGUGCUAGGUGCUGUAGGGGAUAUAAAAUAUGUAUCAUGUGAUUCCUGCCCUCAAAGGGAAACACACACACACACACACACACACACACACACACAGACACACACACACUCUCUCUCUCAAACCUAUAAGGGUAAGGGAAUCUUUUUGAGUUAAACUAUGAUUUGCUGAAAAGCAUAAUAAAAGUCCUAGGUAAGAAUUGGAGAGGGGGCAGUAAAGACAUUGAGAAAAGCUUUAUGCAUUAUUUGGAUAAACAGAGGAACAGAUUGUAGGAAGCAACAGAACCCAGCAUGAGCAUGGCAUGCACACCAGCUAGUUGGGAGAUCAUGAGAUAGUAGAGGAAAUGAGUGAUGGGAAGAGGAAGGCAACAUGACUGAAUAGAUAGGAAAGAACCAGAGUAUAGAGCACUGGUAGAAAGGAUGGAGGUGCAUGAAGAUUAAUUAGGUAUUUACCUGCAGGAUGAAGGAGAGUGUGGAGAUAAUAGAAAUAGAAAAAUAAUAAGGCAGGAAACGGUUGCAGCAAACCAGAUGUGAGGUUAUGCAAGAGUAAUGCCAGUGCCAGAGUAAAGAGAAAGGGAUGAAUCUGAGAGAUAUUCUGAAGGAAGAUUUGCUAAAAUAAUGUGACAGAUUGGAUAUUGAUUGGGAGGAAAGAAAAGAGUAACAUGUGCCUUUAGGUUUUUACUUCUGGGAGAUAGAAAAAUGAUGCUGACGUUGAAAUAAAACAUCUGUGAAAGCAAGGCAGAUUGGGGCUUUUUGAAGUUUGGUGGGACAGCAGUGAAUAUUAUUGGUAGGUUUUUGGCAUUUCAAGUCUAUAGGGAGAAAGGAUAGAGGUUUAUAAUUUGGAUUAUCACCAAAAGGUCAUAAAUGAAGCUUUGGGGAAAAAAAAAAAGCUCUUUGAGAAAAUGUGUGGAAGUACAGAGGAUCAGAGUGAGGGUUUAAGUCUUAAGGGGCAUUUCCAGUUAGAAAUCAGGAGGAGCCAUCGAGACUGCCUAAAAGGUAGAAUAACUGGCCAGAGCAUUUGGGGAACUAAUGAAUUGACAUGCUCUGAAACAAAAAAGAGAAGAAAACUGCAAGGAGCAUAAGAUUUAAUUGCAGUAAAAGUUUUGAAUAAAUAAAAUAUAUAAAAGUCCAUUGAAUUUGACCAAAAGGAGAUGAUUUUAAACCUUUCAGAGAUCAAUUUCAGUGAAGUGGUAGUAGAUGAGAAUGAAGGCACCAGGUAGAGAGAUAGUUGGUGUAUAAAUAUGCCCAACUCUCUCUGAAGGAGAGUAUAUUAGAAUUUCUAAGAUAGCCCUGAGAAAGUACUUUAGUGAUCACCGCUGAAAUUGAUGGAGUGCUGCAGUAGACCCCGAUGUCCCCAAACCC